rnacentral:rRNA from 1 species
GAUGAACGCUGGCGGCGUGCCUAAUACAUGCAAGUCGAGCGAACAGAUGAGGAGCUUGCUCCUCUGACGUUAGCGGCGGACGGGUGAGUAACACGUGGAUAACCUACCUAUAAGACUGGGAUAACUUCGGGAAACCGGAGCUAAUACCGGAUAAUAUAUUGAACCGCAUGGUUCAAUAGUGAAAGACGGUUUUGCUGUCACUUAUAGAUGGAUCCGCGCCGCAUUAGCUAGUUGGUAAGGUAACGGCUUACCAAGGCAACGAUGCGUAGCCGACCUGAGAGGGUGAUCGGCCACACUGGAACUGAGACACGGUCCAGACUCCUACGGGAGGCAGCAGUAGGGAAGCUUCCGCAAUGGGCGAAAGCCUGACGGAGCAACGCCGCGUGAGUGAGGAAGGUCUUCGGAUCGUAAAACUCUGUUAUUAGGGAAGAACAAAUGUGUAAGUAACUAUGCACGUCUUGACGGUACCUAAUCAGAAAGCCACGGCUAACUACGUG